CGACACAAAAUCGAGACGAAGAGAUCAUUUACUGCCCAAAAAGAAAAGUUAGGGUUUUUAUUCUGAAAUCGAAUUCGUCGGGAAUUUUAAGGACAUGGCUGGGGAAAACGCUUUGUUCAAGUUCCUUAAGCCUGGGCUUCGUCCACAGCCCGCCGACGUUCAAGCCGCCGCCAUGUGGGGCGUCGCUGCCACUAUGGGCGCUCUUUGGCUCAUCCAGCCGUUUGAUUGGUUGAAGAAGACCUUUCUGGAGAAACCGGAGUCCGGGUAGAAGCGUAUGGAACUUCGAAAUCGACUUGUUGCGAGGAUGGGCGAAUCAAGGAAGGAAUAAAAGUAACAAUAGUCUUGUGAUUUUGUGGUUUGUUGAAGAAGACCCUUAACCUUCAUGUUGAACCAAAUUCAUGCAUUCAUAGAGUUCUAGUUGAGGUUCCAAUUGGAA